GACGAACGCUGGCGGCGUGCCUAAUACAUGCAAGUUGAGCGCUGAAGGUUGGUACUUGUACCAACUGGAUGAGCAGCGAACGGGUGAGUAACGCGUGGGGAAUCUGCCUUUGAGCGGGGGACAACAUUUGGAAACGAAUGCUAAUACCGCAUAAAAACUUUAAACACAAGUUUUAAGUUUGAAAGAUGCAAUUGCAUCACUCAAAGAUGAUCCCGCGUUGUAUUAGCUAGUUGGUGAGGUAAAGGCUCACCAAGGCGAUGAUACAUAGCCGACCUGAGAGGGUGUUCGGCCACAUUGGGACUGAGACACGGCCCAAACUCCUACGGGAGGCAGCGGUAGGGAAUCUUCGGCAAUGGACGAAAGUCUGACCGAGCAACGCCGCGUGAGUGAAGAAGGGUUUCGGAUCGUAAAACUCUGUUGGUAGAGAAGAACGUUGGUGAGAGUGGAAAGCUCAUCAAGUGACGGUAACUACCCAGAAAGGGACGGCUAACUACGUG
rnacentral:rRNA from 1 species